CGUACGCUGUUUUCUGGUGAAGCACAAAUUCUCCUUUUCUAACAAGCUACCUAGAAUAUAAGCUCAGGGAUGCCAGGGACUUUUCUUGCUUUUUUCUUUGCUGAAUCCCAGUAGUAGAGCUAUGUCUGGCACAAGGUAUGUGUUUCAGAAGUAGGUUUUGAGCGACUGGCUUCCAAGAGAUUGAUUUAGGAUUGCUUUAAAGGCCGAGCUGCAUCAGGAGAGAGGAAUGCGCUAUGAGGGCAAGUAGAGUUCAGACAAGAAUGGAGAGGAACUGAUAAGGACCGGGUGCUGGGCACAGGAGGAGGAAGAGUCAGAAGGCAUCCAGCUUUCAUGUGUUUUUGGGACACCCAUCAGCUCAGAGGGAGAUAGUUUCCACAUCCUGAAGAAAUACAAAUGGCUAAUGAGUGCAUGAGAGAAGGUGCCCGAUAUCUCUGGCCAUUACAGAAAUGCAAACUAAAACAACCCGGAGAUUCUGUUUCACCCUGGGAAGAAUGACGCAAACAACAGCAAACUCUGAAAGGACUUUCUAGGUGGUGUGACUUUGAACAAAAAAAUCAACUGAGUUUUCUUACUUGGAAAAUGGAGUCAAGAAUACCUACCUCAGCCAGGCAUGGUGGUGCACAUCUGUAAUCCCAGCACUCAAAGAAGCUGAGCCCAGCCCGGGCAAUUUAGUGCCCUUUUCAGACUCUCUCAAAAUAAAAAAUAAAAUAAGGGUUGGGCAAGUAGCUCAUGGUGAAGGCCCUGUGUCCAAUCUCUAGUACCCCAGCCUACCUUACCAAGUUGUAAAAAUUAAAUAACACAGUGUAAAUACAGAAUCUUUCCCAGUGUUUGACAAUGCCUAGCAAUCAGCUUGGAACUUGCUGUGUUGCCUGCAGUACAGGUACACACAGCACACAGGGAAGUCGAGCUGAGGACAGCCAGUUCAUCACAGUGCUACCGCACACUGGCCAGCUGCUGGCCAUGCCAGUCCCCGUUCCCUGUUCUUCAGGAAUUUGCUCAGGAAAUGUUUUCCACUCCCUGUGGUGGGAGCCAUGAUGCCCCUUAAUCUGGUGUACACCAGAUUAAAGUUCCAAGCUAGUUAGCAGUGAGAUCUGGAACCUAGUACUUGAAUGGUGAGCUCUACCUCUUGGAAACUGGUGUCUGUACCACAGGCUGCCCACACCUUGCUAAACCUAAGACUAGUGUAUCAUCUUGCCAAGGCAGUGGUGUACACUGUCCUCUGUACUGGGUGGGACACUACCCACAAAGGUUCAACAGAAACACUCUAGUUAGCAAGGAAAACUAACCAUAUUUACUCCAAUAAGGUUAGAAAAAUCCCCUCAAUUAUUUUAUUUAUCCAAAGACUAAUCUAAUAGGUAGUGGAUAUUGUAGGAAUCCUUGUAUAACUUCCAACAGCCCACAUUUGACAGAAAGCCUUUAUCAGUGUGCCUUUGAUAAGCCAUGGGCUUGUGUCCUUUUUGCCAUGUUAAAAUAAGUACAAAUAUUUAUUGUUUGCCAUCCUAUUUUAUUGUUUCUAUGUAGAUGCCAGUAGGGAGAAUUGCAGAAAGAAUUUUGGGGUUUCAUGUUGAAACAGGGAAUGACCAGCAAGGUAAUUUUAUUUCAACCACAAAUCUUAACUUAUACUACAGCCGGAGUGAUAGACGGUGCUGACCUUUUUCUCAUUUUACGAACAUUGUGGCUACGGGCAUGAGGCAGCAGAUUGAACUUUUGUUGUGCUAUUAGGAUAAAUGGGGCAGGACUGUGGGUCACAUUCCUGGGCUUCAAGAGGAUCCUGCUCUGUGCAGGUACAAACAGUUGUACCCAGUCAGACCGAACAGCAGUGUGGAAGGAAAAGGAGCUACAACACAAUAUCAAUGCCGUGUGGUGAAUUAGAAGAAACAUUUACAUUUUGAAAACACU